GUCUUCCCUGAAGGGGACAUCAAGGACAGAAGAGAAUUCAACAUAUAAUCCUAACAAUGGAUCUAAAUUAGUGGCUCGUUCACGAUGAGAAAUUUGCUUCCAGGGAAGAAGUGUUUGGAAAGAAGAUUGAAGAGAAACUGGGGCUUAUGAUUUUGCUUUCGAUCCCAUUUCCCCCACUGAACUGAAACCAGGGCCAACAAUAUGAGAUAAGAUCAGGAAGACUGCUGCCUA
rnacentral:lncRNA from 1 species